rnacentral:rRNA from 1 species
AUGGCCGGAGCGGUCGCGUACGAGGAGCAGCGCCGGAGGCAAGUGGAAGAGAACAGGCGCAAGCUCGACCAGCUCAAGCUGCACCACCUCUCCGCCGCCCUCAGGGACGCCGCCGUCGACCCCAAGCCCUCGCCGGUCAAAUCUGCGAAGCGGAAGCCUCGAGGGCCGCCGCCGGGGGACGCCCCGCCCCGCCGCUCCGGCCGCGUCGCCAGCCUCCCCGAGCAGCCCAACUACCGGUUCGAGGAUACCUAUGGUGUCCUUGAGAAGAGUAUCAGGGGGAGCAGGACGCACACCACAAGGAGCGACUUGAUUGAUCGAGUCUACGCGACCGAAGAAGCCAGAACCUAUGCCACCGACAUGGCCGAACAGCUGCAGGGCAAGCUGGACCCCCGCCACCCCAGUUUUGUCAAGCCCAUGACCCAGUCUCAUGUCACCGGAGGCUUCUGGCUAGGCCUCCCCAAGCAGUUCUGCACCAGGCAUCUCCCAAAGCGUGAUGAGUGGAUCACUCUGGUGGAUGAGAAGGGUGCUGAGUCCGAUUCGUACUACCUUGCGCGCAAGUGGGGCCUCAGCGCCCAGUGGAAAGCGUUUGCCAUCAAUCACAAGCUGGUCGAUGGUGACUGCCUGGUGUUCGAGCGCAUUGACCGGGCAAAGUUCAAGGUCCACAUUAUCAGACAAAGUUCAUAUUAUAAGUAA